rnacentral:rRNA from 1 species
GACGAACCGUGCGAACGUUAUUCGGAAUCACUGGGCUUAAAGCGCGUGUAGGCGGGAGGGCACGUCCGUCGCUGAAAUCCCCCGGCUCAACCGGGGAACGGGCGCGGAUACGACCUUCCUGGAGGGGCGUAGGGGGACCUGGAACUUCCGGUGGAGCGGUGAAAUGCGUUGAGAUCGGAAGGAACGCCCGUGGCGAAAGCGGGGUCCUGGACGCCUACUGACGCUGAGACGCGAAAGCCAGGGGAGCGAACAGG